rnacentral:tRNA from 1 species
GGCCGGGUAGCCAAGAAGCUAAGGCAACUCUCUGCAAAAGAGUUAUACGCGAGUGCAAAUCUCGCCCCGGCCU